ensembl:lncRNA novel transcript
UGCGCAGGCUCGUUGGAGGUUUUCCGGGGACCCUUUCCAACCUGGCUGUCUCAAAGGGAACCAGAUUAUGCAAGGCUUUGUGUUCCAGCUUAGGCUAAACCAAGAACAACUUUAUCCUAAGGUCAAGAGGAAAUAUUUGAUAGGUUCUAAAGAAGGGAGGAGGAAACUGAGACCCAGGCAGAAGAAUUUGUUCUUCAAACUGCGAAAGCAGAGCUACCCCAAUUCAUCCACACACAUAGUAUUUCAGAGAAAAAAAGAAAACCCUAUGAUGGCAAGCAGUCAUAAGGAUGAAUGAGUGGCUUGAUCUCGGCUCAUUGCAACCUUCGCCUCCUGGGUUCAAGCAAUUCUACCUGCCUAGCCUCCCGAGUAGCUGGGAUUACAGGCACCCUGCAUCACAACGGCAUCACGCAUUCGAAUUUAGUAUUUUAGAGUGAUCUUAAUAGGUUUUCUACCAGGUGAACUACGUGGUCAUGGAAGCACUGUUGAUGGUGUGGCACUACUGCCUGUUCUUCAAAGGUUUUCAUAAGGAGGUCAAACCUAGCACUAAGACUAAAAGAGAGAAGCAACACAAUGUUGCCAAAAAGGGGAGUCAUGCUGGUUAUUAUGGUAUCCUGCUCUAGAAGUUUGAUCAGACGAACUAAGCUGACUGGCCCAGGUGCUGGCUCAGAGUCUGUCUCUGUCACCCAGGCUGGAGUGCAAUGGCGUCUUGGCUCACUGCAACCUCCACCUCCUACAUUUAAGCAAUUCUCGCGCCUCACCAUCCUGAGUAGCUGGGACUACAGGCACCUGCCACCAUCUUUUGAAAUUUUUAGUAGUGCUGAAGUUUUGCCAUGUUGGCCAGGCUGGUCUUGAACUCCUGGGUUCGAAUAAGUGCUGGGAUUACAGGCAUGGGCCAUGGCGCCCAGCCUUCUAUGUUAAUUUUGUAUCCUUUUUUUCUGGAUUUUUUCAUUUGUUUGUAUUACAUUUAUUAUUGAUUAUCUUGGGUUUUCCAGGCAUAUAAUUACAGGCACAUCUGCAAUUAGAAAUAACUUUACCCUUUUCUCCUUUUAAGACUUAUGCUUCUAAUACUAUUUUAAAAGACUGAAUCUACUUCAUAAUAUCUUUAAUACAUAGUUAAAUAGUAGUAAAAAUUGUGAGCAACAUUUCCUUAGAAAAGCCUACAGUUUUUUUCCAUUAGGUAAAAUUCUGGAUUUUAAUCUGAGUUAUGUACAUUUUUAUCAUGUUAAGGAAGAGCCAUUGAUUUAUAUUUUAUUUGUUUUAAUCAGAAAUAAGUGUUGGUUUUUUCAAAGACUUUUUCAAUAGCUUAAUAGACAAUUAUAUAAUUUUUCUCAGAGAUAUUACAUUACUGUGGUCAUGGAAGUUUUUAAAAAUAUGUAUUCUGUAUUUUAUUUCCAAAUUUUGUGCAUGUAACUAUGACAGAAAAUUACCCUUUAGUUUUUUUUUAAUUGUGCAAGCUUUAUUGAAUUUAAAUAGAAGUGUUUUACUGGCUUCCUAAUAAAAAUUUGAAUAUAUUCUUUCUAA